rnacentral:rRNA from 1 species
AGUGAACGCUGGCGGUAGGCCUAACACAUGCAAGUCGAACGGCAGCACAGUAAGAGCUUGCUCUUACGGGUGGCGAGUGGCGGACGGGUGAGGAAUACAUCGGAAUCUACUUUUUCGUGGGGGAUAACGUAGGGAAACUUACGCUAAUACCGCAUACGACCUACGGGUGAAAGCAGGGGAUCUUCGGACCUUGCGCGAUUGAAUGAGCCGAUGUCGGAUUAGCUAGUUGGCGGGGUAAAGGCCCACCAAAGCGACGAUCCGUAGCUGGUCUGAGAGGAUGAUCAGCCACACUGGAACUGAGACACGGUCCAGACUCCUACGGGAGGCAGCAGUGGGGAAUAUUGGACAAUGGGCGCAAGCCUGAUCCAGCCAUACCGCGUGGGUGAAGAAGGCCUUCGGGUUGUAAAGCCCUUUUGUUGGGAAAGAAAAGCAGCAGGUUAAUACCCCGCUGUUCUGACGGUACCCAAAGAAUAAGCACCGGCUAACUUCGU